ACGUCUCGGUCUCGCCUCUUGCCCCGCCCUUGGCUCUGGGCGGGGCUCCGGGGCCUCGCCUUCAAUCUCUGUGGGGGCAGAGGGUGCUGGCAGCCGCCCCACCCCCGCAGUGCCGCGCGCCCCCUGACGGCGGCCGCGGCACCCUCCGCCCGGGGAGAGCCAGGCGGCGGCGGGGGGCUGCUGCUGCACGUGGCCGCCGCGCGGGGAGGCGGCCCCGUGACGCUGCGCUUCGCCCAGGGCGGCCCGGCAGCUGUACAAGGGGUUAAGGGGCAAAGUGUAGCCUGGCCGGCUGCUGUGCAGCCACGGGCCUCUCCUCGCAGCCCGGGGCGCUGAGAGCCCGACAGCCGAGGCCAGGGACAAAGCUAGCACUGGGCUGUGGCUCCGAGAGCGCAGGGUAGCAUGGAUUAGGGGGCGUCCAUAAAUUACAUAACACUUUUUGGGUAACUUUUCCAUACCCACCCUCCCUUGUAACACUGAAAGAAACACACAAAAUUAAGGACCCGCCCUGUUACAUAAUGUACAGACAGCCUAGUAGACGGCCACUAACCCCCUGCAAAGGUGGGCACCAGCGUAAGAAUACAAGACCCAUCCCGGCCAGUGGGAGUUGGGGGGCGGGGCAUGCGGGUGAAAGCCACGCAGAGUCGGUUGCUUGCCUCCACCGAGGAGCCGGACCUGCUGCUUGGCGCUUCUGGGGUGCAGCGUGGUCCGUGGUGCCAGGACAGGUGGGAAGCCUGUCUCUGCACCCUGGCGACACCGCUGACCGGGAGCGCCGGAGGUUCGGCCUCCCUGUCCAGAGUCUGUCAUCUGGUAGGAUUCCUUCUCCUGCAAAGAGGACCCCUUCCACCCUAAAUAAUGAGUCAAUCAGUAAAGAUCAAAGCAACAGCAUGUGCUUGGGACCUCAAUCCUCUGGCUAAUGGCAAACCUUUGGAGAGGAACUCCAAGGCGUCCCUUGAUGUUCCUUCGGGACCACGGGAAGCAGGAGAACAGCGAUGGAUGAUGACAAAGGUCACAGGCUCCUGAAGGGAAGACUACAGGUACUUGAACUAAGUCAAAUCUGUUGCAUAAGGAUGAUUGAUCCACAGGAUACUAUAGAUCAGGGCCUGGCCUAAGAGCGGGAGAAUUGCAGAAUUCCACUCCAGAAGAGACGCCAUACUACGGCAAGCAUGGAGCCUGCUCAGAUCACUUUGGCAAUUAGGAGCACAUU